GGUGAGAUGGCCGAGCGGUCUAAGGCGCCAGCUUAAGGAAGGUCUAACCGAGAGGUUAAACCCCCCAACCGCUGGUCCGAAAGGGCGUGGGUUCGAAUCCCACUCUCAUCA